GUCCAGACUCCUACGGGAGGCAGCAGUGGGGGAUAUUGCACAAUGGGGGCAACCCUGAUGCAGCGACGCCGCGUGAGCGAUGGAGUACUUCGGUAUGUAAAGCUCUGUCAGCAGGGAAGAGAAUGACGGUACCUGACCAAGAAGCCCCGGCUAAAUACGUGCCAGCAGCCGCGGUAAUACGUAGGGGGCAAGCGUUAUCCGGAUUUACUGGGUGUAAAGGGAGCGUAGACGGUUGUGCAAGUCUGAAGUGAAAGCCCGCGGCUCAACUGCGGAACGGCUUUGGAAACUGUGUAACUGGAGUGCUGGAGAGGUAAGCGGAAUUCCUGGUGUAGCGGUGAAAUGCGUAGAGAUCAGGAGGAACACCGGCGGCGAAGGCGGCUUACUGGACAGUAACUGACGUUGAGGCUCGAAAGCGUGGGGAGCAAACAGGAUUAGAUACCCGGGUAUA
rnacentral:rRNA from 1 species